rnacentral:rRNA from 1 species
UAGGGAAUCUUCUGCAAUGGGCGAAAGCCUGACGGAGCAACGCCGCGUGAGUGAUGAAGGGCUUCGGAUCGUAAAACUCUGUUAUUAGGGAAGAACAAAUGUGUAAGUAACUAUGCACGUCUUGACGGUACCUAAUCAGAAAGCCACGGCUAACUACGUGCCAGCAGCCGCGGUAAUACGUAGGUGGCAAGCGUUAUCCGGAAGUAUUGGGCGUAAAGCGCGCGUAGGCGGGUUUUUAAGUCGGAUGUGAAAGCCCACGGCUCAACCGUGGAAGGUCAUUGGAAACUGGAAAACUUGAGUGCAGAAGAGGAAAGUGUAAUUCCAUGUGUAGCGGUAAAAUGCGCAGAUAUAUGGAGGAACACCAGUGGCGACGGCUACUUUCUGGUCUGUAACUCACGCUGAUGUGCGAAAGCGUGGGGAUCAAACAGG